rnacentral:rRNA from 1 species
GACGAACGCUGGCGGCGUGCUUAACACAUGCAAGUCGACCGAAAGGCCCUGGCUUCCGGGUAAUCGAAUGGGCAAACGGGGGAUAAAAAGUGGGGGAUCUGCCCUGCACUUCGGGAUAAGGCCGGGAAACUGGGGCUAAUACCGGAUAGGAGCCGAUUUUAGUGUGGUGGGUGGAAAGGUUUUUCGGUGUAGGAUGAGCUCGCGGCCUAUCAGCUUGUUGGUGGGGUAAUGGCCUACCAAGGCGGCGACGGGUAGCCGGCCUGAGAGGGUGGACGGCCACAUUGGGACUGAGAUACGGCCCAGACUCCUACGGGAGGCAGCAGUGGGGAAUAUUGCACAAUGGGCGCAAGCCUGAUGCAGCGACGCCGCGUGGGGGAUGACGGCCUUCGGGUUGUAAACUCCUUUCGCUAGGGACGAAGCUUUUUGUGACGGUACCUAGAUAAGAAGCACCGGCUAACUACGUG